rnacentral:lncRNA from 1 species
CGUCACUUCCUCCCCGGCGGCCUCCGCGGCCCUGGCGCCCGGUUACUAUGGCAAUGCCGCCGCUCGCCCCGGGGCGCUAGUUUGGGGCCGGGUUUUCGGUGCAGGUGCCCGGCGGGUGCGAGGGCGCUGGAGAUGGCGGCUGGGAGACACCAGCAGAGUCCCGGAAGCCCGAGACGUCCCAGGCACUUCGGUUGCGCUCCCAGCCGGCAGAGGCGCGCCUGGAUUCUGAGACCAGGAAUCGGAGCUGCGCUAUUAGAGCGCAGGGCUGGAGUACAGUGGUGUGAUCCUAACUCAAGCAACCCUCCUGCCUUGGCCCCCCAAAGUGUUGGGAUUACAGGCAUGAGCCACCAUGCCUAGCUCCACAUCAGGUAUUUCUAAUGAGAAUUGAACCUACAAAUUGAAAUGUAAGUAUAAAAUAUACAGCAGAUUUCAAAGACAGUGGGAAAAAAUGUACAAUAUCUCUAUUGAUACUUUAAAAAUAUUGAUCACAUGUUGAAAUGGUAGUACUUUAGAUAUGUUGGGUUUAUUUUUAAUUUUUCAAAAUGUGGCUAAUAGAAAAUUUAAAGUUAUAUAUGUAGCUUACAUAAUAUUUCUAUUUGCUGUAGGAUUCAGUGGCUUACCCAGCACUUCAGAAGACAUUUGAAAAUCAGUCAUGUUCCUCAACCAAGUGAUGCCUUUUAGCGGUGCAAAUUCUGUGCUUAGGAAACUUGCUGCUUGCCCUAAUCUUUUCUUUUUUUGUUUUAAAAUGUGUCAUGUGGCAUUUAAUUGUCCUCAUCUUAUCAAGGGUUCAGUGCACCCUAAUGAGACUUGAAUGCAUCACAAAAUGAUGGAGGAAGGUAGCCUGGGCCCAACUGAACUCACUGUGUAUUCAGAAAAUAACCCACAGUUGGGAAAUUCACAGUGCCAUUGCUUUGAAUCAAAUCCUUACUUCAUACCAGGAUGUACCAUGAUUCUUGGCAACAUGACUGGGUAUUGAUGUCUUGUCUAGCCAAUGAAAUCCACAUAGCAAAGAUGUUAUGAAGACAUGGAAACAUGAAUAUGAAAUAAAAUCAGUAUAGCUAUUUGGAUGAUUAGCUAUCGACACAAGACAGUCCCUGGUAAUUGCCUUUAAUAGUAAGGUAGCACUAGGCCAUGAAAGGUGCUUCAGUGUACCUGCCUCAUUUGUGGCUCCCUUUUGGCCAUGUGACCCUAACUCCCCUGGUCACAAGUGGCUGAACCAGCAAUCAAUACCUGACCUGAAGGCAACCCUCUAUAGGCUGGCAAGUGGCCUACAAAGUUGCUCAGUGCUAGAGAACUGAGCCCAACAGAAGUACAUUCUAAUGUUUAGUGAUUGGCCAAUCGUAUUCUUUGUGAUGGUGCUGAUGGGAAGGUAGUGAUGUGCAUCAGACAUGCAGAGUUAGUAGCAGCUGGAGCAGACACAGAAGCCUCCCUAACAAUGGGCAAUGGAGAAAGGAACAACAGACAGUUCUGAAAGAAUACCAAGUGCUCCUAAGCCAAAAGCUAUAGUUAGGCUGCUGGAGGUACUGCCAGUCCUAAAUGAUGGCAAUGAUGGUCCAUUUUUCUGUGAAACUUGACUGUAUACCUGUUAAGAUUUUUUUGUGUUCUUUUUAAGGCUCCAUGAAUGAAUCUUUCCAAUAAACAAGUUUGUAACAAAGGCAACCUGAACAUUUCUGAUACUUGAAACUUGAAAAUAUCUAAUACAAUUUUACAUCACUUUCAAAUCAUGAGUGAAGAAGUUAAUGUGUUAUUGAAUUAGAUUCCCUAUACAUAUGUCAGUUACUUAUUCAAUCAAUAAUAUGUACUGAUAACCUACUAUGUGCCAGACAUGUACUAGCAUUAGGAAUUUAGUAGUGAACAAGAUUGACAUGACUCCAGCCUAGAUUGUGCUAUGGUCUAGCCUGGAGUAUUUAGACUCCUUGGGUCUUAAUACAUACGGAGAAACCUGAAUGUAUGUCAGAAGCAUGUGAUCUACAUUUGUUUGCUUUCGUUUUAAAUAUUCAUGGUUUCCGAAUAUAUUACAUGAAUAAGGAUGUAACAUUAAAACCCAUGUGUUAACAUUUUAAUCUAAGGAUAUUUAUAUCAAAGUACAGCUUAGUUCAGAGCUUUCUAAAUUUUAGUACAUCUGAAACAAAGUGAACAACAGAAAGAAGGUUAACAAAACCAUAAACUGUUAAGUAGAACAUGGCCCCUAAGUAGAGCCAGAAGUAUAGUACUGUAACAAGAUGACACUUGCAGAAUCCAACAGAAGAAGAGAAUAAAAUGAUGACAUUUAUAUGCUAGCAUUUUGCAACAGUGGUAAUGUGCCACCUGUAAAUGAAGUGAAUCCUGGAAAUAAAAAGGCUGGCCAUUUUUCCUCAUCCUGAGUAAAAGAUAAACUGAAAAUUAAUGGCAUGGAUUGCUCAAGAUAACAGACUGAAAAUAAAGAUACAGGUGAUUCAUUAAACUAGAUGAAGAAAAAUGGAGAAGAUAGAAUCUGAUGCUUGGUGAAAUUGAAAUGUCAAGGAAUUGACAUUGAUGCAUUCUGUGAUGAUCCUGCUGGUAACUCAAUAGUCAGGCAAAGGAUUUUAAUGUUAUAUUUCUUAGACCAACUAAAAUUAAGAAUGAAUGUCUUUCCCAGUAGAGAUAAGAUGGCCCAGGGGGAGUGGAGAGUUGAGGGAACCCUGUUAAGUGCUUUAGAGUUUCUAGGGAUUUUUUUUUUUCCUAGUCAAUCUCUGCUUAUCCAUCUAGGACUCUUUAGUUAUUAUUUUAGUGGAGCAUUAAGAGACUAAAAAUGCUCUUAUAUUUUAUCAUUCAAACUUUUACAGGCUUUCUUUCCAAGAUACUCAAAUCCCUAAACACCUGAACUUCUAAUUGCUUUACAAGACUUAGUCUCAUUGGUUGCUAUAGUACUGCUGUGGAAAUUCUCUUCUUGUCUUCAACUAAAUAGGUUGCAGUUUAAAUAUCUGCAACUCUCUGGGAACACAAACAACAUUAGAAAUUAGAAAGAUAAUAUAACUGUGGCUACAGCAGGUAACUUUUAAUUAUCAGGUUUAUAUGUAAUUUUAUACAUUCAAAUUUGAAAACUAGAAUGAAUAGAUGGCCUUAAGGAAACUAUAAACUAUUAAACAGAACCAAGAAUAGGUAGAGAACCCAAAUAGAUUGAUCAUCAUCUAAGAAACUGAAAAGAUUUGGGAGGCUGAGGUGGGAGAGUAGCUUGAGCCCAGGGUUUCAAGACCAG